rnacentral:rRNA from 1 species
AUAAAUUAUAUCAAAGGAUUAAUAUAGGAGAGAGACCGAUAGCAAACAAGUACAUUAAGUGAAAGAUGAAAAGGACUUAUAAAAGGGAUUCAAAGCGUGCUUGAAAUUGUCGAGAAGGAAGCAUAUGGCUGCCGACGGUGCAUCUUGGCCUAAAGAAGAAAGGUUGUAUCUUAUCCACUGCUCAGCUCGAGGCACGGAUCAUUGCAUGCCUUUCUAACGACAUGAGCUCGGGUAAUUGAUGAUUGAAGAGGCACCAUCAGAGAGAUUGGCCAACACAGCAUGUGCUGACACGAUGAGCCUUUUGGGGCUCUCAUAAGCCCAUCAUAAUGACCUGUGCGCUUCCCAUUUGACCAACUUCGAAACAAGGAACAAGGAGCCUGACAUGCAUAUGAGUUGAUGGUUGUUGAAGCCUAGUGGGUGUAAAGAAGAUGAUGUAAUGACCCUCUUUUAUAGGUACACCGCCAAAUGAUCAGAAUCUACUAUGAAGGGUUCAAGUGUGAGCAUGUGUGUAAGGACCUGAAUGAUGGUGAACUAUGACUAAGCAGGGCGAAGCUAGAGGAAUGAUUGGUGGAGGCCCGCAGCGAUACUGACAAGCAAAUUAUUUAUCUGACUUGGGUAUAUAGGUGAAAAACUAAUCAAACCAUCUAAUAGAUGGUUCCCUCGAAAGUUUUUCUUAGGAUAUCUGGAUCCCCAAAUGGAGUUUUAUCAAUUAAAGAUAAUGAUUAGAGGCAUUGGGGGAACAACGCACUUGACCUAUUAUAAAACUUUAAAUAGGUUUAAUAGUUAGGCUGCUUCAAUGAGCCAUGCCACCGAAUCGAGGGCUCCAAGUCGAGCAUUUUUUGUAAUAAGAACUAAUAAUGUUGGAUGAACCUAAAGCCAAGUUAUGGUGCCCAAUUACACUUUAACCCAGUACCCAUAAAGAGUGUUGGCCAAUUAAGACAGUAAGAUGGUAGUCAUGGAAGUUGAAAUAUGCUACGGAGUGUGUAACAACUCACAUAUCAAAUCAACUAGAACCAAAAAUAUAUGGUGCUUAAACGUAUGAACCAUACUCAGCAAUUUGGACAAUGGCCAAAACUAGAUGACUAGGAGGGCAUGGUGGUCACCAUAAAACUCAGGUUGUGAGCCCUUGCGAAGAGGCCAUAUGUGCGGAUCCUAGUUGUAGUAGUAAAUAUUCAAUAGAGAGCUUUAAUGUUCGAAGGGGGGAAAGGUUCCAUGUGAAUUGAACUAUCAAAUGGGUUAGCUAAUCCUAAAACAUGGGGUAGGAAAGUUAGAGAGUACCGCUUUGCAUGAGCUUCGAAAGGGAGUUUGGUUAAAAUUAUCAAGCCAGGAUGUGAGUGGCUGACAAAAAUGUUAGGUAGUCUAGAGAUGCCGACGGGACUCUCGAAAAGAGUUAUGUUUUCUACUUUAUAGUAUUUUAGUCCGAAAAAUAACUCAACCAAAGGUAGGGUCUAGCAGAUAGAAGAGCACCACACAUUGAGUGGCAUACGGUGUGCCACUGAUGGCCCCUAACAAUUUGAAGGGCUGAAUGUCAUCCAAAACUGUCCGUACUCAUAACCCCAUCAGGUCUCCAAGGUGGAUACCCUCUAGUCGCUGGAGCAUUAUAGGCAAGGCAAGUUGACAAAAUGGAUCCAUAACUUUAAGAAAUGGAUUGGCUUAGAGGGUUGAGCAUGGGGGUCACCUGUUGUGGGUGGACUGCUUAAGCUACACUCAUGGUGAGAGUGGGCUGGGGGACGGAUUGAGAAUGACUCCCUUUGGGACAUUCUGCAGGUGUCGAACUACUAACUCUUAACUAGUAUGAUUAAGGGGAAUCUGACUAUUUAAUUAAAAUAAAGCAUUGAAAUGGUCAUAGUGGAUGCUAAUGCAAUGUGAUUUCUGCCUAGUACUAUGAAUGUCAAAGUGAGGAAAUUCAAUCAAGCACGGGUAAAUAUCAGGAGUAACUAUGCUUCUCUUAAGUUAGCCAAAUGCCUCACCAUCUAAUUAGUGAAGCACAUAAUGAAUUAAUGAGAUUCCCACUAUCCAUGUUUAAUAUCCAACAAAACCGUAACCAAGGGAAUGGGCAUGGAAAAAUCAAUAAGAAAAUAAGACCCUGUUGAGCUUCACUCUUGUCCGACUUUGUUAAAUGACUUGAUAGGUGUAGGAUAAGUGGGAUAUGGCUCACCGGAGAAAGUGAAAUACCACUAGUUUUAAAUUUUUUUACUUAUUCUAUGAGAUAGAGGCAGGGCUUGGCCCUUCCUUUCGGCUAUUAAGUUUUACCCCGAUGGGUUAAUCUAAGCAGAAGACGUUAUUAGGAGGGGCACUUUCCUAGGGCAGCACAUCUGAUAAAAGAUAAUACAAGUGUCCUAUGAUGAGCUCAAUGAGAAUAUAAAUCUUAUGUGCAACAAAAAGGUAAAAGCUUGUUUGAUUUUGAUUUCUAGUGCGAAUACGAACCAUGAAAGUGUUGCCUUUCAAUCCUUUUAUCAUUCAGAGUUUUAAGCUAGAGGUAUACAAAAAGUUAUCAUAGGGAUAACUAGCUUAUGGAAACCAAGCAUUUAUAGCAACAUUGCUUUUUAUCCUUCGAUGUCAGCCCUUCCUAUGAUUUUGAAUCAAAAUUCACCAAGUGCUGGAUUGUUCACGCAUAUAUAGGGAAGGUGAGCUAGGUUUAGACCAUCAUGAGACAUGUUAGUUUUACCCUACUAAUGAUCAUGUCAUGAUAGUAAUUCAAUCUAGCAUGAGAGGAACCAUUUUUUCACUUAAUUGGUCAUCAUGCUUGGUUUAAAAGCUAGUGAUGCAAAUCUACCAUAUAUAGGGUUAUAACUAAAUGCCUCUAAGUCAGAAUCUGUGCUAAAAAAGUGGCACCUGAACCCAUUAUUUAUUUGUUAUGGCUGCUGAAGUGCUCGAAAAGAUAAAUGAGAUAGAACUUAAAUAUUGGUAAUGGAUUAGAAAAGCUGGUGUAAACCCUAGAAUAGAGAAUUUCUGGUGGAGAUUGUUCCAUAAUACAAUCCCUACUAACCAAUUUUUAACAUAU